CUACGGGACGCACCAGUGGGGAAUAUUGCACAAUGGAGGAAACUCUGAUGCAGCAACGCCGCGUGGAGGAUGACACUUUUCGGAGCGUAAACUCCUUUUAUAUAGGAAGAAGAUGACGGUACUAUAUGAAUAAGCGCCGGCUAACUCCGUGCCAGCAGCCGCGGUAAUACGGAGGGCGCAAGCGUUACUCGGAAUCACUGGGCGUAAAGAGCGUGUAGGCGGAUUAAAAAGUCAGAAGUGAAAUCCUAUAGCUUAACUAUAGAACUGCUUCUGAAACUCUUAAUCUAGAAUAUGGGAGAGGUAGAUGGAAUUUCUGGUGUAGGGGUAAAAUCCGUAGAGAUCGGAAGGAAUACCGAUUGCGAAGGCGAUCUACUAGAACAUUAUUGACGCUGAGACGCGAAAGCGUGGGGAGCAAACAGGAUUAGAUACCCCCGUAGUC
rnacentral:rRNA from 1 species